rnacentral:rRNA from 1 species
UACGAAGGGGGCUAGCGUUGCUCGGAUUGACUGGGCGUAAAGGGCGCGUAGGCGGAUAGUACAGUCAGGCGUGAAAUUCCUGGGCUCAACCUGGGGGCUGCGUUUGAUACGUAUUGUCUGGAGUUCGGAAGAGGGUCGUGGAAUUCCCAGUGUAGAGGUGAAAUUCGUAGAUAUUGGGAAGAACACCGGUGGCGAAGGCGGCGACCUGGUCCGAUACUGACGCUGAGGCGCGAAAGCGUGGGGAG